GAGCUCCCUCGACUUGUUCAGACUUUCAUGGACGUAAAUCAAUGGAGAGAAAUGUUCCCAUCGAUGAUUUCAAAGGCAGCAACAGUAGACGUGAUCUGCAAUGGUACUGAAGGUGCUAACAGCUGGGAUGGCGCAAUUCAGCUAAUGUUUGCAGAGGUGCAGAUGUUAACGCCAGUAGUGGGGACGAGAGAAGUGUAUUUUGUGAGAUAUUGCAAACAAAUGAGUGCAGCACAGUGGGGGAUUGUGGAUGUUUCUGUCGACAAAGUUGAAG
rnacentral:misc_RNA from 1 species